GCGAAUUGGAAGUCUACCUCCUGAGAGAACAAUGCAUGAAACUUUGGCACAAAACCAAGGCACCAUGCCUUGCUCACGCCAUUGAAUACUCCUUCCAGGUAGAUCUCCAUGUCGCCAUGCAGCUCCGUCGCCACCACAAACUGAAGGGAGGUGUUGUCGCCGCCACCGUAUUUGCCAUCAAAAAGCUCAAUGUCAUCAUCUAUCCAGCCUGCCCGAGCUGUGCAGCGCAAACCAAUGCCUUCGGGAGGCAGAAUGAGCGCCUGAAGCUCAAUGGUAGCCUCGACGCCUUUCGAAAUCAUAGCGAGCUUCAGGCGCAUCACUGGAGUAGAGUGGUUGCCACAAGGUAGAAUGGACAGCUCAUUGACUCUGGACCAUCUGCGCCCCUCUAAACUAGGAUGCUCUACUACUCCUUGGAUCAGCUCAUGGUAACUGUCAAUGCCAUCACCUGUUCUCUUCAUCUCCAGGUUGAACUCAAGCAAGAUAUCAGAAUUACUAUCAAUGGCUCUCCGAGGGCUCAAUGUUGGCAGCCGCAAAACACCCUGAAAAGUUGAUCAGUAUUCCAUAGUUUUCAUCAAUUACGUUUGGAGAAGUUAAUAAGAAGAUUGAGGAAGAGAUGGAGUGCAUACAUGUUGUGAUUGGACAGUCAAUGGGUGAUCCAUUUCUCUGUUGAAAAUGUAAUUGCGUUGUUCAUCUCGGAAGUCCCUAAUAGCGACAAAACCGGAUAUGUCGAGUUUGCAGGAAUGGAGAGAAUCAGCUACAAUGAUCUCGAGGGUGUAGACUUGCAACAUCCUGCUGGGUGAGCAAGUACACCACUCCAAACAAACAAGUCUAGGAUAAAGCUUCCUCUUAGGAUGCAACUUUGCUGGAUUCAAAGAAUUAAUUAAUUAGUAUGGUAUUAUGAUCUGCAACAAACAAAAACUAGAAACCAAGCAAACAAUAACCAGUACCCAGACCUUGUCUUAGAGAAAAGAAUGCAAGACUUGGAGAAAAAGUACGAAACACAGGCAUAUAUUUAGUUACUUGAAUUGCAAAGUUAAGCCUCCUUAGCAAAGCCCCAAGCAGUAACCGAAUUCCUCAACUGGUAAUAACAUACAGCCAGAGAGUUAAGGAAAAGCGGCUGUUUCAUUUCCCGAGUGUUAUUUUUUUCCCUAUAACACUACAUUAAGGCUGUUGUUACCUUGCUAUCUGUGUUACAUUACAUGAAUUGGUAGGCGUUUUCUUAUGUAAGCAGUAAGCACAAUCCAUUUUGCUAUAUAAAGUAUGCUAAUUAAGUUCACAACCAAUAUGUUGGUCAUAGUGAUCACCAUUUUGUACCCAGGUUAACAAGCAGCAAACAAGUGGUGCUCAUGGAGAUGCACUUCAGAUGAAUAUAUAUAUGAACUUACAUUCCAAUUUGUCAGACAAGAUCCAAUAGUGGAACCCUGCGAAAGGUUCACGCACUGGGAGCUCUGCCCUUCUGGUGCUCCUGCUGCCUGGCUUACACAUGAAAUAAUUCCAACCCCUCCUUGGUUCAGGCACCGGUUGUGUGAUCGGCUCCAUGACUAGCUUAAGCCGUUCCUUGCGCCACUCUUCCCUCAUCCUAAUUUCCUCAUCAGUUGGAAACUUGGGUACAUAUGGCUCUGAAACCUUCACCCAAUCAGAUUCCCCAGGAGAUUCAAACAACAAGCUGUACUCACCUUCCCCUUCCCCUUCCACUGAUAGCUUCCCAGAUAGGGAUAACACAUUAUGCCUCAAAUCAUCAUUUUCUUGUUGCAUGUGGUGAUACAAAAGUCCCUGGUCUUCCUCUGCUUCUGAUGCAAAGAUGGAACUAAGUCCAAAAUCCUGUUCUUCCCUGCUAGUCAUUGUGGCAUUUACCUGGCGAAGCUUCCUAUUGAGCUGAACAAGCAAACAUGAACAUGGUAUGGGGUUUUUACCAUCAUUCUUCCAUUCUAGAAUUUGGUGUGUCGAGCUCUCUGCUGAGGUGCAGGACAAGAAUGUGCAACUGUUAUCAUCAUCAUCAUCAUCUCCACAAUGGAUGCUAACUGUGAUUCCAGUCCAGCCAGUAAGAAUGGUUCCAUCAUUGAGCCGUAUUGCUAGAUUGUCUGCUAGGAACUUGAAACUCAAAAUCUGAUCCACCUGUGGUGACACCGACACCAUUGCCACUGCUCUUAACGUCUCUGUCUGGCCUCUUUGUUCUAUGAAGUCGAAGGUCUUUGGGUCCAAAUAGCCUUCCACAAAUCCCACUACCUGAAGCUCCACCGUUGUCAAUGGCAGAACGAAUCUGUCAUAACAGGCAAGCCUCCAACGCAUGUCCUGAGGACAUUCUUGUUCAACAAAGUUGCAGAAAACUUCCCUGUUGGUGCCCAGUGACAGUUCAAACCUUCGGAGCAUUGCUUCAUCAGAUGAUUCCCACUUAAUAUCCCCAUGACCUAGAGGAAUGUAAGCCAUGGGCUUCAUAUGAAACAGUCCGAAGUCUCGCAAGCUAAAAGGAAAAUAGAACGGCAACUCUGUAAAAAGCCACACGGGCAUUAUCUACAUGGACCAGGCAACAGUCAGCGAAAGCUGAGCGAAUUGGAAGUCUACCUCCUGAGAGAACAAUGCAUGAAACUUUGGCACAAAACCAAGGCACCAUGCCUUGCUCACGCCAUUGAAUACUCCUUCCAGGUAGAUCUCCAUGUCGCCAUGCAGCUCCGUCGCCACCACAAACUGAAGGGAGGUGUUGUCGCCGCCACCGUAUUUGCCAUCAAAAAGCUCAAUGUCAUCAUCUAUCCAGCCUGCCCGAGCUGUGCAGCGCAAACCAAUGCCUUCGGGAGGC
rnacentral:lncRNA from 1 species